rnacentral:rRNA from 1 species
UAACUAGCUGUCAGGGGCCUUAGGCUUUUGGUGGCGCAGCUAACGCAUUAAGUUAUCCGCCUGGGGAGUACGGCCGCAAGGUUAAAACUCAAAGAAAUUGACGGGGGCCUGCACAAGCGGUGGAGCAUGUGGUUUAAUUCGAAGCAACGCGCAGAACCUUACCAGCGUUUGACAUCCUUGUCGCGGAUCGCAGAGAUGCUUUCCUUCAGUUCGGCUGGACAAGUGACAGGUGCUGCAUGGCUGUCGUCAG